rnacentral:sRNA from 1 species
AACUAGCCCUGAUGGGAAUGGCAUCUUGCAAAAUGGACAGCAGGAAUAUGG